AACGUAGGAGACAAACGUUAUCCGGAGUUACUGGGCGUAAAGGGCGUGUAGGCGGUCUGUUAAGUCUGGCGUGAAAGCUCUCGGCUAAACCGGGAGAGGUCGUUGGAUACUGGCAGACUAGAGGACGGUAGAGGCGUGUGGAAUUCCGGGUGUAGUGGUGAAAUGCGUAGAUAUCGGGAGGAACACCUAUGGCGAAGGCAGCUCGCUGGGACGUUACUGACGCUGAGACGCGAAAGCGUGGGGAGCAAACAGG
rnacentral:rRNA from 1 species